CGUGUAGGCGGUUAGGCAAGUCAGAUGUGAAAGCCCUGGGCUCAACUCAGGAAGUGCAUUUGAAACUGUUUAACUAGAGUAAGAGAGGGGAAAGUGGAAUUCCUGGUGUAGAGGUGAAAUUCGUAGAUAUCAGGAGGAACACCGGUGGCGAAGGCGGCUUUCUGGCUCUAUACUGACGCUGAGACGCGAAAGCGUGGGGAGCAAACAGGAUUAGAUACCCUGGUAGUCC
rnacentral:rRNA from 1 species